rnacentral:rRNA from 1 species
CCUACGGGGGACAGCAGUGGGGAAUAUUGCACAAUGGGGGAAACUCUGAUGCAGCGACGCCGCGUGAGUGAAGAAGCGUCUCGGCGCGUAAAGCUCUGUCAGCAGGAACGAUAAUGACGGUACCUGAAGAAGCAGCACCGGCUAACUACGUGCCAGCAGCCGCGGUCAUACGUAGGGGGCAAGCGUUGUCCGGAGUUACUGGGUGGAAAGCGAGCGUAGACGGCGGGGCAAGUCGGGAGUGAAAGUCCGGGGCCCAACCCCGGAACCGCUCUGGAAACGGACCGGCUGGAGUGCGGGAGAGGAGAGCGGAAUUCCAGGUGUAGCGGGGAAAUGCGUAGAUAUACGGAGGAACACCAGCGGCGAAGGCGGCCUUCUGGACCGCAACUGACGUUGAGGCUCGAAAGCGUGGGGAGAGAACAGGAUUAGAUACCCGGGUAGUC